rnacentral:rRNA from 1 species
UACGAAGGGGACUAGCGUUGUUCGGAAUUACUGGGCGUAAAGCGCUCGUAGGCGGAUUUGUUAGUCAGGGGUGAAAUCCCGGGGCUCAACCUCGGAACUGCCUUUGAUACUGCAAGUCUCGAGUCCGAUAGAGGUGGGUGGAAUUCCUAGUGUAGAGGUGAAAUUCGUAGAUAUUAGGAAGAACACCGGUGGCGAAGGCGGCCCACUGGAUCGGUACUGACGCUGAGGUGCGAAAGCGUGGGGAGCAAACAGG